UUGGGUGAACCAUAACUUUAAACUAGGAUUAUGAAUCUCCAACCUUAUCUUGUUCAAUUUGUUUCAUAGACAUUUUAUAAUUUCUGUGAGCUGCUAAGCGACAAAUCAGGCGAUGAAUAACUCAGUGAACUUUACCACAUUUGGAGCAUCUGCAAACUCCACAACUCAAUUCUUUGGGCCAUCCAACAUUCUGGACCUUUUCAGUUUCAUGUUUGGUCUUCUUGCACAGUCCAAUGUCAUAUGGCUCAUCAUCACAGGAACAAAAAGUGGAGUUGCAUCAGGAUUCUUCAACCUCAAUCUCUCUGUUUGUGAGCUUGGUUACUAUGAAUUCUUUGCUCUCUCUAUUUGAGACUUGGAUCAAAAUCAAGACAUUAACACAUUUUUUAAUAGGGCUAGGCAUCACCGGUCAUCCUCUGUUUCAGUGUCUGAUGUGUGUUGAGCGUUACAGUGAUUCAUCCUGUAAUCUUUCUGAAGUACAAACCUCUCAGAUAUAGAGUGAUCUGCUGCACUGUGGCCUGGAUAAUGACUCUUGGUUCUUGUUUGUUCUGCCUCUUUACUGUAGGCUUGUUUUUUAUAUUUAUAUAUUGUUCUACUCAAUGCUGUUCCUCCUUUUCCUCUCCAUCCAGUUGUUUUGUCUUGGGUUUCUGUUCUCAGAGCACUGAAGCAGUCAGGACCAGGAGAGAGAAGGAGAGAGAGAAAGGAGGAAAACCACAUGAAGAGAAGAGCAUUUUAUCUCAUUCUGAUAACUACUGUGAGCAUGGGUUUUACCUAUGUGCCAUUUAUUGUCUCAGAACACAUUUUCUGUGAGAUUCUGAGUUGAGAGAAAGAAGGAACAGAUGAAUAAUUGUACAGAGAACAUCGCCACACCUGAAGCAUCUACAUUCUCCACAUCUCAGUCCAUUGGGCUAAUGAAAAUUUUAGAUCUUUUUCUGCACAGCAUCAAUUUCCUGUUUGGUCUUCCUACAAACUCUUAUGUUUUAUGGCUCAUCGUCACAGGAACAGGAAGUGGAGUCGCAUCAGAGUUCUUCAACCUCAGUCUCUCUGUUUGUGAGAUUGUUAACUGUCUGAACAUUUUGGUCCAUGUACUUGAGCGUUGGUUUUUAAGUCUCAAGACAUUGAGAUAUUUUAUGUUAGGACUCUCCUCCACCGGUCGUCCUCUGUUUCAGUGUCUGAUCUGUGUUGAGCGUUACCUGGCUGUGGUUCAUCCUGUAACCUUUCUGAAGUUCAAACCUCUCAGAUAUAGAGUGAUCUGCUCUGCUACGGCCUGGAUAAUCACUCUUGGCUGCUGUUUGUGCUGCAUGUUUACUAUAGUCUCGUGUAAUUUUUAUUAUUAUGUAUUCUUCUACUCUAUUCAGCUCCUACUCUUCUGGUGCAUUCAAUUGUUCUGCUGUGUGGCUGUUCUCAGAGCUCUGAAGCAGUCAGGACCAGGAAAGAGAGGGAGAGAGCGAGAGGAGGAAAACCACAUGAAGAGAAGGGCGUUUUAUCUCAUUCUAAUAACUACUGUGAGCAUGGCUAUGAUGUAUAUGCCAUUUGCUAUCUCAGGAUUUACUUAUAUUCUGACUAAUCUGUAUUUUCAGGAACCUUUUACUUUUGGGUUUUUUUGUUUUCUAUUCGCUGGUUUUGUUCAGCCUUGUCUUUAUCUGAACCGGGUCGGAAAACUCUCCUGUAAAACAUUCAAUUGUUUAGUUUUUAGAAAAUAAACAUGUAAGUGAAGAAGCUUUGCAUGUGGCUUCUGUACUGUCUUCAUAGUGUAAAGUGGCUCAGAACAUGUUAGUGUGACUUUUUGUCAUUCAAUGUUUAUCUAGUCUUGAUUGUCUGUCCUGAUUGUUCUUUUUCCCAUAAAAAGUAUGUUUAUUUGGAAUGUGAUUAUCAAAUAUGGUUAUUAUAAGUGUUUGCUAUGGAUUGUUUAUUUAAUAAAAUGCUUCUCAAAUGA